rnacentral:rRNA from 1 species
AGCGGCGGACGGGUGAGUAACACGUGGGCAACCUGCCUGUAAGACUGGGAUAACACCGGGAAACCGGUGCUAAUACCGGAUAAUCCUUUUCCUCUCAUGAGGAAAAGCUGAAAGUCGGUUUCGGCUGACACUUACAGAUGGGCCCGCGGCGCAUUAGCUAGUUGGUGAGGUAACGGCUCACCAAGGCGACGAUGCGUAGCCGACCUGAGAGGGUGAUCGGCCACACUGGGACUGAGACACGGCCCAGACUCCUACGGGAGGCAGCAGUAGGGAAUCUUCCACAAUGGACGAAAGUCUGAUGGAGCAACGCCGCGUGAGCGAUGAAGGCCUUCGGGUCGUAAAGCUCUGUUGUUAGGGAAGAACAAGUACCGGAGUAACUGCCGGUACCUUGACGGUACCUAACCAGAAAGCCACGGCUAACUA